AGUGAACGCUGGCGGUAGGCCUAACACAUGCGAGUCGAACGGCAGCACAGUAAGAGCUUGCUCUUACGGGUGGCGAGUGGCGGACGGGUGAGGAAUACAUCGGAAUCUACUUUUUCGUGGGGGAUAACGUAGGGAAACUUACACUAAUACCGCAUACGACCUACGGGUGAAAGCAGGGGAUCUUCGGACCUUGCGCGAUUGAAUGAGCCGAUGUCGGAUUAGCUAGUUGGCGGGGUAAAGGCCCACCAAGGCGACGAUCCGUAGCUGGUCUGAGAGGAUGAUCAGCCACACUGGAACUGAGACACGGUCCAGACUCCUACGGGAGGCAGCAGUGGGGAAUAUUGGACAAUGGGCGCAAGCCUGAUCCAGCCAUACCGCGUGGGUGAAGAAGGCCUUCGGGUUGUAAAGCCCUUUUGUUGGGAAAGAAAAGCAGCAGGUUAAUACCCCGCUGUUCUGACGGUACCCAAAGAAUAAGCACCGGCUAACUUCGUG
rnacentral:rRNA from 1 species